CAGCGCCUCAGCCAAGGCUGGCAGGAGAGCGCCCUUUGGGAGCUGCAGCAGGAGCCGUCCACACUGGCAAGGAACCGUCCCACUGGCAAGGAGCUGUCCACGCUGGCAAGGCCCUCAGAGGCCACUAGGAGCUGUUUGCUGGGCACCACUGAAACUGCGGGCUGGAAGCUCCUCUGGGUGUCCUGAGGGCCAGGCCAGUGAGUGCCGCAGGGGCAGAGUUACGUCUGGCUGAACCCCGGUCAUCAGCAAGGUGCGUGCCGUGACCUCACUACCGUCAGCUGCAAUAGAAUCGUGUGAGAAAACGCCAUGGAGCUCCUUUCACUGAGCUGCACUAGGGCGUGGCGUCCAGAGGCCUAUCCGAGGACAGUCACAGGAGCCCAUCUCUCUGUGGACCGCGUCUCGACAUCCAGGGCAUGUGCUCUGCUGGGCUCAUGGGCAGGAGCAGGGGUUUCCUCUCGGCUCGGCUGCUGGGAGCUCAGAUUCCCGUCCCGCUCCCGCCCCGUAACCUCCACUCCGCCCUCACGGGGCUGCGGGACUCAGCCUUGAGUCGGCUCCUUCCCCACUCUUCUCCCGGUCACACCUUUAUUUCUUUCCCUCGACCUUUUCCUGGACUCUUGGAGCGUUUGUUGAUUGGGCUCCGUGAGCCUUGAUUCUAUGGCUAUAGAAUGGGGUCAGUGCCUGGCACCCUGGCUCUCCGGUUUGCUGACUUGUGCACAGGACCGCGCUUACCCUCAGUUCUGACUGCGGACAGAGCUGUCUGGUCCAGACUCCUUUCAGCUGUGCGAUGACACAGCCAGGAAGAUAGAAGCAGCCGGGUCUCGGGGUGUGCAAGGCAUCCUGGGCGGAUGCAAGGCGGGGUACAGCUGCCUGAGCGCGGCAGCCAUGCCCCAGGCCCUGUGCCAGGUUGCUGGGCUCUGGGACUGUCGGGUGGCUCCACUUGGCUCUUGAACACAACUUAGUGUUUCAACUUCACAUCUGGCAAAAGGGAGAGGAUCCAGGGGUUCCAGGGGUGCCUCUCAGGCGGGUUUUCUCCCCCU
rnacentral:lncRNA from 1 species